AUUGAACGCUGGCGGCAGGCCUAACACAUGCAAGUCGAACGAGUGGCGGACGGGUGAGUAAUGUCUGGGAAACUGCCUGAUGGGGGGGGAUAACUACUGGAAACGGUAGCUAAUACCGCAUACCAUCAGAUGUGCCCAGAUGGGAUUAGCUAGUAGGUGGGGUAAUGGCUCACCUAGACGACGAUCCCUAGCUGGUCUGAGAGGAUGACCAGCCACACUGGAACUGAGAAACGGUCCAGACUCCUACGGGAGGCAGCAGUGGGGAAUAUUGCACAAUGGGCGCAAGCCGGAUGAAGCCAUGCCGCUGGGAUGAGGAAGGCCUUGGGGUUGUAAAGUACUUUCAGCGAGGAGGCGUUACUCGCAGAAGAAGCACCGGCUAACUCCGUGCCAGCAGCCGCGGUAAUUC
rnacentral:rRNA from 1 species